GUAUCUCCAUUUUUGAGCUAUGACGGCUUAAGCGCAGAAGGGGAAAGGCGCAAACCGACCUAGGAGCAAGUAUAUAAAGAGUCUUAGGCUAGAGGCAAGGGGGACAGCAAAAAAAAACUUAGCACUUAGAGCAAUUUAGGCAAUUUUCCGUUUUUGUUAUUCGAGCUGCGACUUAAUUAGGUUUAGCGGCUUUAGGGUUUUAGAACUAGGAAUCUCGCCGACAGCUCUCGCAGCCCAGGCUCUUACCUUGUUGUAACGCUCAAACGCGAAUUCGGAAUAAGAUCUUUUCGAUUUCUCAUAUUUUAUCAUUUUUAUUUCGUGUUCUGAUUGCUUGGCGUGU
rnacentral:lncRNA from 1 species